rnacentral:rRNA from 1 species
CCUACGGGAGGCAGCAGUGAGGAAUAUUGGUCAAUGGGCGGGAGCCUGAACCAGCCAAGUCGCGUGAGGGAAGAAGGUACUGAGUAUUGUAAACCUCUUUUGCCAGGGGACAAAGGCGGCCACGGGUGGCCGUAAGAGGGUACCUGGAGAAAAAGCAUCGCUAAACUCCGUGCCAGCGGCCGCGGUAAUACGGAGGAUGAGAGCGUUAUCCGGAUUUAUUGGGUUUAAAGGGUACGCAGGGGGCGUGUCAAGUCAGCGGUAAAAUGUCGGGGUUCAACCCCGGACGGCUGUUGAAACUGGCGUGCUCGAGUGGGAGAGAAGUAAGCGGAAUUCGUGGUGUAGCGGGGAAAUGCAUAGAUAUCACGAAGAACACCGGUGGCGAAGGCAGCAUACCGGCUCCACACUGACGCUGAGGCACGAAAGCGUGGGUAUCGAACAGGAUUAGAUACCCCGGUAGUC